rnacentral:piRNA from 1 species
UGAUGGCAGCCUGACUAAUGCAAAUC